rnacentral:lncRNA from 1 species
CUUGCACACCACGACGAAUGUUGAUCUGCCGAUCAUCUGGCGUUUAUCUGACAUUUGUAAUAUGUUGAAUGUGUGGUGUGUUUUGAGGACCACCCACCGAUAGCACCUGACGGACUAUAUUUUCUAGUGUUGUCUAGAGACAUUUCUACUCUGAGACAAUCAGAGAGCAUGGACCACAUGGACACUUCUGCUAGAAGAGAGUGAAAGAAAGAAACAACGACAGCAAAACAUUUUUAAAUAGGGUGCACUUUCCGGUGCGCAAUAUUUAAUUUAACUAGCUUGCUAGCUAACUAGGGCCAGGACAGCUCUGGCUUUAAGACAUAGGAGACACAUUCUAUUAGUAGUAGUAGUUAGCUAAGACACCACAAGGUAGCAACAUGAUUUUGAUGGAAAUGGCGCAGCUGAAGACCAGGAAGAUGUCUUCACCUCUAUGGUGGAGAAGAGUAUUGACAGAGAGAUGCCAAAUCUCUCUGACACAGGCAACGGAUUGCAAGCCAUCUGGGCGUUCAGGUAAGUCAAUUUUUUUCCUUGUUGAACUUGCUAUAAAAAAGUUUUCAUCCUUGUAAGGACACAGUCUUCUCUCAAAACACCUUAACUUCUUAGUCCUGUAACCCACUGCAUACAGGGAGUUUAAACUAUUUUUCUGUGCCAGUGUUGUGUUGUUAAGCACCCCCCUGCCCCCACCUCUUUCCUGUUUAAAUGUGGAUCCUCUUUGUUCAGACAUAAAAGAAGCAUGAGUAAUUAGCAGAAAGACAUUGUUCUCUUCCUGGCUAAUUGGUCUGUUCCUCCCCUGAGAGACAGAGGUACUCAGCCAUGACCCAUGAUGCCUCUCCUUUUCCACUGAGAUCCAUGCAUUAACAAGUCAUGUCUAUCACACAGGCAUAGCCUAUAAAGGUAAACAUUGUCUUACAUAGAUAGGAAAGCUGCCGCGGUCAUACCCCUCUUAAAAGGGGGAAACACUCUAGACCCAAACUGUUAUAGACCUAUAUCCAUCAAGCCCUGCCUUUCUAAAAUCUUCAAAAAGCUAAGUUAACAAACAGAUUACCGACCAUUUCGAAUCCCACCGUACCUUCUCCGCUAUGCAAUCUGGUUUCCGAGCUGGUCAUGGGUGCACCUCAGCCAUGCUCAAGGUCCUAAACGUUAUCAUAACCGACAUCGAUAAAAGACAGUACUGUGCUGCCGUCUUCAUCAACCUGGCCAAGGCUUUCCACUCUGUCAAUCACCGUAUUCUUAUCGGCAGACUCAAUAGCCUUGGCUUCUCAAAUGACUGCAUCGCCUGAUUCACCAACUACUUCUCAGAGUUCAGUGUGUCAAAUCGGAGGGCCUGUUGUCCGGACCUCUGGCAGUCUCUAUGGGGGUGCCACAGGGUUCAAUUCUCGGGCCGACUCUUUUCUCUGUUGUGGAAGGACCACCAGAGGGCAGACUGGGCUCAUGGAUAAUAGCCCAACAAGGCAUGUGAGACAAGGUAACCAGAGGCAAUUAAGCACAGCUGAUGGUACUAAUGACCUAUUAUCUUUUCCCUACAAGAGAGAGAGGGAACCAGCAAGAAGGGGGGAAGAUAACUAGCUCUGGAGAAGGGCGACCAGGAGAGAGAGGAGCUAUCCAAGAAGAUCCAUUAAGACGGGCCGGAUCGAGGAACGGGAAUGCAGACGCGCUGUCCCGACGCGACCAAGACGGUGCGUCUGGCGCCCGACCCUCCGGUCCGGUCCUGAGGGGGGAGGUAUGUGGAAGGACCACCAGAGGGCAGGCUGGGCUCACGGAUAGUAGCCCAACAAGGCAUGUGAGACAAGGUAACCAGAGGCAAUUAAGCACAGCUGAUGGUACUAAUGACCUAUUAUCUUUUCCCUACAAGAGAGAGGAGGGAACCAGCAAGAAGGGGGGAAGAUAACUAGCUCUGGAGAAGGGCGACCAGGAGAGAGGAGCUAUCCAAGAAGAUCCAUUAAGACGGUGACAAAUCUGUGAUAGUUGUUAUAGCUUAAAGAUAAUCGUCUUGUGAUCCUGUGUGAUCUAAAGAAGAAGAUGUAUGUUGUUUCUUGGGAGAUUCUCAAUGACUGUGUUGGAGUGUUUGUAUUGUCAGAAAUCCCUCAAUAGAGAACUGUGUUCAAUCAAGAAAACCUACUCUUGACUCGUUUAUUCCACCUUUCCGCUUUAG